rnacentral:tRNA from 1 species
CCGUCGAUAGCUCAGUUGGUAGAGCGGAGGGCGGAAGAGGUUCAAAGCGAUGGUACGAAUCCGGCUCGACGGA